AUGUGUAAACUGCUCAUGGAGAGAGCAAUUAUUCACGAAGAUGAAAAUAAAAUUGAAUUCCGCAUCAAGGAAGGUAGAUCAUUGUGGAUAACGAAGGAGGUGGUGCAGCAUGUUCUUACCCUGCCAGUGGGCUUGAAGGAGCUCCCAAGUUCAGAAACUACAGGGGGAGAAUAUAACAAUAUGUUCACAGCACUGAGCUACAUAGCCAAAACGUUUGGAAAAGAAAAAAAGGCUGGAUGCGCCGAGGGCAAUCAAGUGGACACCGAGGGCAAUCAAGCGGACGCUGCGGACGCCGAGGGCAAUCAAGUGGACACCGAGGGCAAUCAAGCGGACGCUGCGGACGCCGAGGGCAAUCAAGUGGACACCGAGGGCAGAACCGAUGAGGAAAACGUCGCGCCCCAUGAGUUGAAAGCCUCCGCAAAAAGACGUUUAUUCAGCGACAAAAACAUUCGUUUGUUGGUUGACAAAUAUCAAGACAGCGUGGUCUCGAAACUUGUUGACAAGGAAAUGCUCGUAAAGCUUAUACUUGGGGUUGUGUUAGACAGAUAUCUACUUGCAGGAAAUUCUUAUUAUAUAACCCCAAGUAUAAUUGGAGCAGUCAAUGAGUUGGUAGAACUGCAAGACAUUGACUGGGCACAUAUAGUCUUUGAACACUUCAAGAAAGCUUACUACGAGUUUCAGCAGAAAAAGGAUAAAAAGGAUUUUAUUAUGACUGGUUGUCUGGUUAUGCCCUUGAUUGUUCUUUUGGACUGCAUCGAGGGAAAUGAUGUGGACAUGGAAAAGGCUUGUAGAGUUAAUUUGUAUACUGAUGCCAUGGUCACCAAUCUUUUGUGUGAACCUGCUGAGCCCAAGAAGAAGUCUAUGAAGAAGUCUAAGUCCAGGCAUGGUGUGAGGAAAACGAAGAAACUAGAAGACAUUAAUUUGAUUAGCUGGGAGGAAAGUUGCUAUGGCAAAUUAUUGAAUUCUGACGACAAUAGUGUUGAUGAUUUGAACAAGAAAUAUGUUUUACAAAGAACCCGUGACUCUAUUGUAUUAGAGAUUGGUGACUAUCGUGUACACGAGUCUACGUUUGUAGAUUGUUUCAAACCACUUGGCCAGAUGCAAUCGAAUAUACUACACUUAGUAUGCCACAUAUGGUCAAAGGGCUGGAAGGAUAAAGUUAUCCUUGAAGAAUUUUCUGUUGGUGAUUUGCUGCGUCUAGAUGAUGAAACUAAAUAUCUGGACAAGCAGCUUACAGCAGAGAAAGUGAAGGAUAUGACACAGCAAAAAAGAAAUAUAUCCUGGACUCCUGUCCAGGGAUACAUCAAGACGUGGCACGUGAUGUGUUGA
rnacentral:rRNA from 1 species